rnacentral:tRNA from 1 species
AUUCAAAUAGUUUAAAUAAAAAUGCUGGCUUGUGGUGCUGAAGAUGUAGUUAUACUUUGAAUC